AUUGAACGCUGGCGGCAUGCUUUACACAUGCAAGUCGAACGGCAGCGGGGACUUCGGUCCGCCGGCGAGUGGCGAACGGGUGAGUAAUACAUCGGAACGUACCUAUUAGUGGGGGAUAACUAAGCGAAAGUUUAGCUAAUACCGCAUACGACCUGAGGGUGAAAGCGGGGGAUCUUCGGACCUCGCGCUAAUAGAGCGGCCGAUGGCUGAUUAGCUAGUUGGUGAGGUAAAGGCUCACCAAGGCGACGAUCUGUAGCUGGUCUGAGAGGACGACCAGCCACACUGGAACUGAGACACGGUCCAGACUCCUACGGGAGGCAGCAGUGGGGAAUUUUGGACAAUGGGCGAAAGCCUGAUCCAGCCAUUCCGCGUGCAGGAUGAAGGCCCUCGGGUUGUAAACUGCUUUUGUACAGAACGAAAAGGUUUCUACUAAUACUAGGAGCUCAUGACGGUACUGUAAGAAUAAGCAUCGGCUAACUACGUGCCAGCAGCCGCCGUAA
rnacentral:rRNA from 1 species